rnacentral:lncRNA from 1 species
CUCCAAAGAACUGACAGCUCUGACCCACAUACACACACACAAACACACACCAGCUUCCUUUAAUGAUUUAUUCAGAGUAAAUCUACAGAUGGCUUAAAGUCAGAAGACCUCAUCAUCGUGGAGAAGUUAGAGGUGGCCUCGCCUGGUGAUGACUAUAUUGUGAUCAUCUGACUUCUGUCUUUUUUUUUCAAAUGACUAAAAUGAACGCUUAUCUAAAGUUGGUUAUUUAACUUCCUCACGGUCUGCUCUUCCAACAUGGACUUUGUUUUGGUUUACACACUGAUACUUGCCUUACUUUCCAUCGGACAGAGUUGCACUGAGGGAAUAGAAAAAAACGAUUCAUGUUAUGAAGUGUGCCCACCUGGAUAUUAUCAUUUUGGUAACUGUGAUGAUCAAGCUGCAAAGUACAGAUGUAAGAAGUGCGGUACUGGCACAUUCACAGCCAUAAAGAACACUGCAAAGGCAUGCAUUAGAUGUGGCGUAUGUGGUAAUUUUGAGGUGGUAAAAACACAGUGCACCUGUGAUAGUGAUGUGAAAUGUGACUGUAUCAUGGGAUACUACUACAAUGGAAAUCCUUCCAUCGUUGAAAGGGCUUGCCGGAAAUGCAAUUCUAAAUACUGUAAAGAGAUUGAUACGAAGCCUGACUACAAAAGGAAUUGCCAGUCCUUCUGCCAGAGCAAGGAGUGUUUAGAACUCCCAGCACCUGCAUUUCCACCUUCUCCAAAUAUAUCUACAGCUGCAACUAUACCAACAUCUUC